rnacentral:rRNA from 1 species
GAUGAACGCUGGCGGCGUGCCUAAUACAUGCAAGUCGAGCGAACAGACGAGGAGCUUGCUUCUCUGAUGUUAGCGGCGGACGGGUGAGUAACACGUGGAUAACCUACCUAUAAGACUGGGAUAACUUCGGGAAACCGGAGCUAAUACCGGAUAAUAUAUUGAACCGCAUGGUUCAAUAGUGAAAGACGGUUUUGCUGUCACUUAUAGAUGGAUCCGCGCCGCAUUAGCUAGUUGGUAAGGUAACGGCUUACCAAGGCGACGAUGCGUAGCCGACCUGAGAGGGUGAUCGGCCACACUGGAACUGAGACACGGUCCAGACUCCUACGGGAGGCAGCAGUAGGGAAUCUUCCGCAAUGGGCGAAAGCCUGACGGAGCAACGCCGCGUGAGUGAUGAAGGUCUUCGGAUCGUAAAACUCUGUUAUUAGGGAAGAACAAAUGUGUAAGUAACUGUGCACAUCUUGACGGUACCUAAUCAGAAAGCCACGGCUAACUACGUG